GUUUUGGACAUCCGAUAAAAUUGGAACGAUACAAAAAAGAUUAGCAUAACCCCUACGUAAAUAUGACACACAUUAAUCGAGAAAUGGUCCAAAUUUUU
rnacentral:snRNA from 1 species